rnacentral:lncRNA from 1 species
AAAGAUUGCGCGCGGCCUCGACGAAACGAUUGGUUCUUUGGCCCGGAAUCAGUUCUUUAUCUGAGGUCAGCAAUUCUACAGGUGUGGCACUAGAAGUAGGGUUCCCUACUGAGAUCUGAACACCAGAAUGAAGUGACCUUGCUUCUGAACUCUUAGGCCUUGGAGACUUGGAAUCUAUCCUAAGUGGAGAAACCCUGACCUGAAACUUUCAGCCAAAGUGUCAGAGCAGAACCUAGAACAAGCUUUGCAUUCUCAAGACUUGGCCCUUCCCCAACGGGAGAACACUGAGCAGGAGAGAAUGAACUCUGGCCUGCUGACUGCCAGAUCCCAGGUAAGUUGGGCUUUCUCUCUCCUGAAAUGCUGUAUCUCUAGUUU